rnacentral:rRNA from 1 species
UACGAAGGGUGCAAGCGUUACUCGGAAUUACUGGGCGUAAAGCGUGCGUAGGUGGUUCGUUAAGUCUGAUGUGAAAGCCCUGGGCUCAACCUGGGAAUGGCGCUUGAAACUACGGGACUGGAGUAUGGCAGAGGGAGGUGGAAUUCCACGUGUAGCGGUGAAAUGCGUAGAGAUGUGGAGGAACACCGAUGGCGAAGGCAGCCUCCUGGGCCAAUACUGACGCUCAUGCACGAAAGCGUGGGGAGCAAACAGG